GCGGGCGUGGCGGAACUGGUAGACGCGCCAGAUUUAGGUUCUGGUGUCCGGCAGGACGUGGGGGUUCAAGUCCCUCCGCCCGCACCA
rnacentral:tRNA from 1 species